CUUCAAUGUAGCAGGAAACUGGGGGAGGAGGUUCUGCUCUCAGCCACUUUCAAUGGGUGCCCCAGCCUAACCUCAUCAACAGUGCUAUAUUGGGAGCUUCUAAGAACAACCUGUAAAAGCACAUUGCAAAAUACUAUGUACACUGUACAGACUGAAUGAGGAACAAAGCUACAAGCUGGUGCAAGAUUUACAAAGAAGGGACUUGGCACACCUACCUGC